UAGCAACUAAGCAAUAACAGCAACAACAACAACAAUGGGAUACCUGAAUAACUUGCUCUUUCUACUCAUGGGCUAAAUCAUGGGAGAUACGUUGAUAAGGUCAUUCUAAUGAAUUCUGGAAUACCAUGAGAACUUUUGGUGGGGGGCAUGACUUUUGAAGAUAAGGGUUUGGACUCAAUUGAAAGAGAAAUAUAUUGAGCUGAAAACUUCAUGAAGCCCACAAAACUUCUGCUACAUGACAUAAUAUUGAAAUUAUCAGUUUCCCAUCCCAAUGGCCUACAGCAAGGGAAGCUCUGAGUGUCUUGCCUCCUGGACUUUGCAGGUUUCCCUGGUGGCUCAGAUGGUAAAGAAUCUGCCUGCAACGCAUGAGACCUGGGUUGGGAAGAUCCCCUGGAGAAGGGAAUGGCUACCCACUCCAGUAUUCAGGCCUGGAGAAUUCCUUGGACAGAGAAAACUGGCAGGUGGAGGGAGAGGAUCCAGAGGAUAGUUUUUUUUACUCCAUUGGAUGAAGACAGUCUGGAUUCUAUGGAGGAAAGCCACUCAGGGAGGCUGAUGUGUUUUUGAUCAGUGGUUGGCUGGAUCAACAGAUGCAGAAACCAUGGAUACAAAG
ensembl:lncRNA